rnacentral:rRNA from 1 species
UACGUAGGGUGCGAGCGUUGUCCGGAAUUACUGGGCGUAAAGAGCUCGUAGGUGGUUUUGUCGCGUUGUCCGUGAAAACUCACAACUCAAUUGUGGGCGUGCGGGCGAUACGGGCAGACUGGAGUACUGCAGGGGAGACUGGAAUUCCUGGUGUAGCGGUGGAAAUGCGCAGAUAUCAGGAGGAACACCGGUGGCGAAGGCGGGUCUCUGGGCAGUAACUGACGCUGAGGAGCGAAAGCGUGGGGAGCGAACAGG